rnacentral:rRNA from 1 species
UACAGAGGUCCCAAGCGUUGUUCGGAUUCCUUGGGCGUAAAGGGUGCGUAGGUGGCGUGGUAAGUCGGGUGUGAAAUUUCGGAGCUUAACUCCGAAACUGCAUUCGAUACUGCCGUGCUUGAGGACUGGAGAGGAGACUGGAAUUUAUGGUGUAGCAGUGAAAUGCGUAGAGAUCGUAAGGAAGACCAGUGGCGAAGGCGGGUCUCUGGACAGUUCCUGACACUGAGGCACGAAGGCCAGGGGAGCAAACGGG